rnacentral:misc_RNA from 1 species
AGUCGUAACAAGGUUUCCGUAGGUGAACCUGCGGAAGGAUCAUUAAAAAAUUGGACUCCAUUGGUGAGUUCAUUAAUAAUCCCUACCCUUUGUGAAUUUGUUUGUUUGAAUAAUUUUUUUUCCAAAAAAAAUUAUUGAAUGUCUUUCCUUGUUUUGGUGGAGCUUGUAAAGUGAAACCAGGCAGGGGAAUGGCAAACAAUAAUUAUUUUUGAAAAAGACCUUUUUUUAAAAUUAAACUUUUUGUAUUCAUUUGUCUAAAAUUAAUUUUUAUAAUAUAAAAACAACUUUUGACAAUGGAUCUCUUGGUUCUCGCAACGAUGAAGAACGCAGCAAAAUGCGAUAAGUAGUGUGAAUUGCAGAAUACGUGAAUCAUCGAAUCUUCGAACGCAUAUUGCACUUUUUUAGUUUACUAAAAAAGUAUGUCUGUUUGAGUAUCAGUAAAAUAUUCUCAUAAAAAACAUUGUUUUUUUUAUGGUUAUGAGUGUUUUACAACGAUAACAAGUUGUUUCACUUUAAAUUCUUUGUUAUCAAAAAAAUCAUUAAAAGCUAAUUUUAAAGAUUUUUUAAAAUUGGAUAAAAUUUUCCCGUAAAAAGGAAUAACCUAAACAAUUUUAAAAAAUUAAAAUUGGUUUGAUUUUUUUUGAAACCCAAAGGAAAAAAAAACGAAAUUAACUUGAUCUCAAAUCAGAUAAGAGUACCCGCUGAACUUAAGCAUAUCAAUAAGCGGAGGAAAAGAAACUAACUAGGAUUCCCUCAGUAACGGCGAGUGAAGCGGGAGAGCUCAAAUUUGAAAUCUUCAAGGUUUUACCUUGACGAAUUGUAGUUUAAAGAAGUGUUUUCUGUUGGAGUUUUGGUAAAAGUUCUUUGGAAAAGGACAUCAUAGAGGGUGAGAAUCCCGUAUUUGACCAUUAUCUCCAGCUUUGUGAUACACUUUCAAAGAGUCGGAUUGUUUGGGAAUGCAGUCCAAAAUGGGUGGUAAAUUUCAUCUAAAGCUAAAUACUGGCGAGAGACCGAUAGCGAACAAGUACCGUGAGGGAAAGAUGAAAAGAACUUUGAAAAGAGAGUUAAACAGUACGUGAAAUUGUCAAAAGGGAAGCGUUUGACACCAGUGUUGUUUUCUCGAAAAUCAAUUAAAAAAGGCCGGAUUUUGUGUUGUAUUGACUUUAUCAGCUUUCUGCACUCUUUUCUUGUCUUUUUUAAUGCACUUUUCGUUUAACAAGUCAACAUCAGUUUCUUUUGUUGUAAAAGGGUCAUUGGAAGGUGGCUUUCUUUUCGGAGAAAGUGUUUAUAGCCUUUGGCCUCUGCAAUCGGAGAGAUUGAGGUCUGCAGCGUAGAUCCUUCGGGGUUAGAUACAUUUGUGCUAAGUUAUAGCCUUUCAUAGACAACUUGUUGACUAUGAUCAGUCAUGUAGCUUACUCGCUUAUGCUAUUUUACCUACGCUUAGGAUGUUGAG